UACGUAGGGGGCUAGCGUUGUCCGGAUUUAUUGGGCGUAAAGAGCGUGUAGGCGGCCAUGUAGGUCCGGUGUGAAAACUCGAGGCUUAACCUCGAGAUGUCAUCGGAAACCAUUUGGCUAGAGUCCGGAAGAGGAGAGUGGAAUUCCUGGUGUAGCGGUGAAAUGCGCAGAUAUCAGGAAGAACACCAAUGGCGAAAGCAGCUCUCUGGGACGGUACUGACGCUGAGACGCGAAAGCCAGGGUAGCGAACGGG
rnacentral:rRNA from 1 species